UACGUAGGGGGCAAGCGUUGUCCGGAAUCAUUGGGCGUAAAGAGCGCGCAGGCGGCUUGGCACGUCGGGUGUGAAAUCCCGGGGCUCAACCCCGGGACUGCAUUCGAUACUGUCAGGCUAGAGGUAGGUAGGGGAGAUCGGAAUUCCUGGUGUAGCGGUGAAAUGCGCAGAUAUCAGGAGGAACACCGGUGGCGAAGGCGGAUCUCUGGGCCUUACCUGACGCUCAGGCGCGAAAGCUAGGGGAGCGAACAGG
rnacentral:rRNA from 1 species